rnacentral:tRNA from 1 species
UGGGGCGUCGCCAAGCGGUAAGGCACGGGUUUUUGGUAUCCGCAUUCCCAGGUUCGAAUCCUGGCGCCCCAG